rfam:Ovis aries breed Texel chromosome 18, whole genome shotgun sequence.
UCCCUGGUGGUCCAGUGGCUAAGACUCUGCAUUCUCAACGCAGGGGGCCUGAGUUCGAUCCCUGGUCAGGGAA